rnacentral:rRNA from 1 species
UACGAGGGGCUAGACGUUAAUCGGAAUUACUGGGCGUAAAGCGUGCGCAGGCGGUUUUGUAAGUCUGUCGUGAAAUCCCCGGGCUCAACCUGGGAAUUGCGAUGGAGACUGCAAGGCUAGAAUCUGGCAGAGGGGGGUAGAAUUCCACGUGUAGCAGUGAAAUGCGUAGAGAUGUGGAGGAACACCGAUGGCGAAGGCAGCCCCCUGGGUCAAGAUUGACGCUCAUGCACGAAAGCGUGGGGAGCAAACAGG